GAUCGAACGGCGUGGCGGCGUGCCUAACACAUGCAAGUCGAGGCGAAGCACCGUUACUUGAUUUCUUCGGGAUGAAAGUAUUGUGACUGAGCGGCGGACGGGUGAGUAACGCGUGGAUAACCUGCCUCAUACAGGGGGAUAACAGUUAGAAAUGACUGCUAAUACCGCAUAAGCCCACAGCUCGGCAUCGAGCAGAGGGAAAAGGAGUGAUCCGCUUUGAGAUGGCCUCGCGUCCGAUUAGCUGGUUGGUGAGGUAACGGCCCACCAAGGCGACGAUCGGUAGCCGGACUGAGAGGUUGAACGGCCACAUUGGGACUGAGACACGGCCCAG
rnacentral:rRNA from 1 species